AACAAUCCCACAAGAAUAAGGUGAGUGAGUGCGUACAUGUGUGUGCGUGCGUGUGUGUGUGUGUACUCCUCUUGCACUGAGUAGUUACAUAAUUUUGCUAAAGCUACAGUUUAUAAUCCGCAAUUGUUUUAACUUUGUGAUUUAUUUGCUGUUCACUAUCUCAAAGCUUGUUUAGGCCAAAUAAAAGGCACAAAUUUUUUCUGCCUAGUAGAUGAGCGGUUGGUAUGGUCUAAAGGUCUUGGUAGGGUUCGUUUUCUCUGCCAUUUAAGUAAUUAAAAGGCAGGAGGAAUUUCAACUGCAACAGAUAGCAGUGAAGAAAUCUCAAACCCUGCAGACAGGAGCAGAGACUCAGCAGCUGAAGAAGGGGGCUUGCUGGAGGCAAGCAACCACCCACAUGCAGCAGACACACAGAGAAAAGAUCUGCAACACUGAAGCCACAAAAUCUAAAAAUCCCCGAUCUCUUCUCGAGGGCUGGAUUUGUUUGUUUGUUUGUUUGUUUAGUCUCUGAAGACCCCCCCCCCCCAAUAUAGGGUAAUCACUUUAAAGAAAAGAAGUUUCUCUGGCCUGUGACUCUCGUGUAAACCAGCCCUAAUCCAGAUGGCCUAGAAGGUGUUGAGUUAGUCCCUCAGCAGUGGCCUGCUGCUGGGAGGUAAAAGCCUGCAAGGCCCUGGUUUUAAGGGGCCAGGCUUUUGUCUCAGCCUGGAGGGUAUAGAAGAAGCCAGCCAUCUUGGAAGUUCAUCAGGUUUCUUACAUAUCCAUGGCCCCUCUCCCUGUCUGUCUAACUUCUAGUCUCUCAUGAUUCUGAAGAAAAUAGCAAAUGGACAUCUAUCCAAUGGACACGCGUGCGUUGUCUGUGCACAGCUUAAGUAUGACUGGGCACACCAAAACACCCUCACACAUUAUAACUUCAAAAGUUGAAGAGACCUGAGAAACCUGCACAUCAAAUCCUACACUCUCCUGGCCCUGUGUGGAGUCAGAGCAGUUAGCACUCCCUCCCUGUGACGAUGCUCGUGUGUGUGUGUGUGUGUGUGUGUGUGUGUGUGUGUGUGUGUGUGUGUGUGUGUGUGUGUGUGUGUGUGUGUGUGUGUGUGUGUGUGUGUGUGUACGUACUCGGGAGCGCAAAUGCCAGCCUUGGGAACAAGAAAGCAGCAUCCCGUAGCCUCCCCUGAGACUCAUACCCCCUUUUGAUUAACAACCAACUUUUCUCAGGUGCAGAUGGCUCCUGCCCUCGAAGGAAACAGAACCCAAUACCCUUGAAAUGAUAACAGCCCACUCUUAGACUAUGAAAAAGAGACAAUUAAGUGUUCCCAGACAGCUGUGGCCAGUUGUAAAACUACACCAGCUUCCUAUAGCACAAGGUACUUUUCCCAGGUCGGAAAGGUUCCUUUCCAGCUGCACGUUCCGCCCCGCUGUCAGAACAAACCUGAUAUCAGGUUUGAAGAGCAGAAUUCCUUUACCCUCUCAUGGAAUGCCAAGGCUUGGAAACCCGGCCUGCAGUUUUUUCCUUUAUAAACCCCCUUCACUUAGACCUGGGGGUUCACUCUCUUUCCUGUUUCAUCAGGAAGGUUGGUGGCCCAAGCUCGAGCUUGAAUAAAGACCCUCAUGC
rnacentral:lncRNA from 1 species